AUGCGCGUAAUCAAAUGGUUUCUAUAGGCGCGCAUCCGAGCGCAUAUAAAAUUGGGCCAACAUAGAACACAGCCUUGGCACUUCACUUUGGACGACAAGUUGGGUAAACGAGCAUGCAUAACAAGUUGUCUAUCCAUUAAAAACAGCCGAUCAAAAUGACUCGCGCCAAACUUAACUUUGAAAUUGGCGCGCAACUUGAAAUCUACCGACGGGAGCCAGAAGAUGGAUUCUACAAAAGGCGAUCAAAACUUUAAUUUGGUUAUGAGAGACGAGAUUGCAUAGUGUCGCAGAAUGUCAUCGAUGAAUUUUACUUAAACAUUUCGAGUCAUUAUCUAUCUACAGAAAAAGCAAAUUCACAGCAAUGGAAUAUGGAAAUGUGAAAGCCACUCGCAAUCAACUUUGAUUUAAUCAUUUCAUCGCGAUGUCGUUUUUCAAACAACUCUUUUGGUGACACGACUUGAUGAAAGUAUAUAAAAAUGCUGAUGGUAUAACUUCAUUAGUGAAAACUGAAAGGUGUUACUUGUGUAGUCCAAUGCAAUAUGAAGAACUUUUCUUGUAACGUCAAAAUUUACGAUAUUCUAUAUGAAAAGUUCGUUCAAACACAAUUUCUACUUUGAGCAUCUCGCACCUUUAUCAUGAGACUCAUCAUAUAUGUUGCACUGCAUCGCAAAUCAAUGUUUGAUGAAUUCCAUUGCCCUAUUUUAUUUCGUGAGCGCAUAUUAGUCUCGAAAAAUAUACUUUAUUAUAACCGGAAA